GUGCUCGCUUCGGCAGCACAUAUACUAAAAUUGGAACAAUAAAGAGAUUAGUAUGGCCCCUGCACAAGGAUGACAUGCAAAUUUGUGAAGCGUUCCAUUAAAAA